UCCCGCGUAGCUCAGUUGGUAGAGCGUUUGACUUUUAAGCAACUUGUAUGCGAUCAAAACGUCCAGGGUUCGAGCCCCUGCGUGGGAG